UACGAAGGGGGCUAGCGUUGCUCGGAAUCACUGGGCGUAAAGGGUGCGUAGGCGGGUCUUUAAGUCAGGGGUGAAAUCCUGGAGCUCAACUCCAGAACUGCCUUUGAUACUGAAGAUCUUGAGUUCGGGAGAGGUGAGUGGAACUGCGAGUGUAGAGGUGAAAUUCGCAGAUAUUCGCAAGAACACCAGUGGCGAAGGCGGCUCACUGGCCCGAUACUGACGCUGAGGCGCGAAAGCGUGGGGAGCAAACGGG
rnacentral:rRNA from 1 species